UACGUAGGGGGCAAGCGUUGUCCGGAUUUAUUGGGCGUAAAGAGCGUGUAGGCGGCCUGGAAGGUCCGUUGUGAAAACUCGAGGCUCAACCUCGAGACGUCGAUGGAAACCCUCAGGCUAGAGUCCGGAAGAGGAGAGUGGAAUUCCUGGUGUAGCGGUGAGAUGCGCAGAUAUCGGGAAGAACACCUAUGGCGAAGGCAGCUCUCUGGGACGGUACUGACGCUGAGACGCGAAAGCGUGGGGAGCGAACAGG
rnacentral:rRNA from 1 species